UACGUAGGGAGCAAGCGUUGUCCGGAAUCAUUGGGCGUAAAGCGCGCGUAGGUGGCUUCGUAAGUCCGUUGUGAAAGUCAAAGGCUCAACCUUUGAAAGCCGAUGGAUACUGCUGGGCUAGAGUCCGGAAGAGGCGAGUGGAAUUCCUGGUGUAGCGGUGAAAUGCGCAGAUAUCAGGAGGAACACCGAUGGCGAAGGCAGCUCGCUGGGACGGUACUGACGCUGAGGCGCGAAAGCGUGGGGAGCAAACAGG
rnacentral:rRNA from 1 species